rnacentral:rRNA from 1 species
CAGCAGCCGCGGUAAUACGAAGGGUGCAAGCGUUAAUCGGAAUUACUGGGCGUAAAGCGCGCGUAGGUGGUUUGGUAAGAUGGAUGUGAAAUCCCCGGGCUCAACCUGGGAACUGCAUCCAUAACUGCCUGACUAGAGUACGGUAGAGGGUGGUGGAAUUUCCUGUGUAGCGGUGAAAUGCGUAGAUAUAGGAAGGAACACCAGUGGCGAAGGCGACCACCUGGACUGAUACUGACACUGAGGUGCGAAAGCGUGGGGAGCAAACAGGAUUAGAUACCCCUGUAGUCCCUGUCUCUUAUAU